rnacentral:rRNA from 1 species
AACGAACGCUGGCGGCAUGCCUAACACAUGCAAGUCGAACGCCCUCUUCGGAGGGAGUGGCGCACGGGUGCGUAACGCGUGGGAACCUGCCCUUAGGUUCGGAAUAACUCAGAGAAACUUGAGCUAAUACCGGAUACGUCCGUAAGGAGAAAGAUUUAUCGCCAAAGGAUUGGCCCGCGUCCGAUUAGCUAGUUGGUGAGGUAACGGCUCACCAAGGCUACGAUCGGGUAGCUGGUCUGAGAGGAUGAUCAGCCACAUUGGGACUGAGACACGGCCCAAACUCCUACGGGAGGCAGCAGUGGGGAAUAUUGGACAAUGGGCGCAAGCCUGAUCCAGCCAUGCCGCGUGAGUGAUGAAGGCCUUAGGGUUGUAAAGCUCUUUUGUCCGGGAAGAUAAUGACUGUACCGGAAGAAUAAGCCCCCGGCUAACUUCGUGCCAGCAGCCGCGGUAAU